rnacentral:rRNA from 1 species
GACGAACGCUGGCGGCGUGCUUAACACAUGCAAGUCGAACGGAAAGGCCCUGCUUUUGUGGGGUGCUCGAGUGGCGAGCGGGUGAGUAACACGUGAGUAACCUGCCCUUGACUUUGGGAUAACUUCAGGAAACUGGGGCUAAUACCGGAUAGGAGCUCCUGCUGCAUGGUGGGGGUUUGAAAGUUUCGGCGGUUGGGGAUGGACUCGCGGCUUAUCAGCUUGUUGGUGGGGUAGUGGCUUACCAAGGCUUUGACGGGUAGCCGGCCUGAGAGGGUGACCGGCCACAUUGGGACUGAGAUACGGCCCAGACUCCUACGGGAGGCAGCAGUGGGGAAUAUUGCACAAUGGGCGGAAGCCUGAUGCAGCAACGCCGCGUGCGGGAUGACGGCCUUCGGGUUGUAAACCGCUUUCGCCUGUGACGAAGCGUGAGUGACGGUAAUGGGUAAAGAAGCACCGGCUAACUACGU